rnacentral:rRNA from 1 species
UACGGGGGGAGCAAGCGUUGUUCGGAAUUACUGGGCGUAAAGCGUGCGCAGGCGGCGCGUUAAGACAGGUGUGAAAGCCCCGAGCUUAACUUGGGAAUUGCGCUUGUGACUGGCGUGCUGGAGUGUGGCAGAGGGAGGUGGAAUUCCACGUGUAGCAGUGAAAUGCGUAGAGAUGUGGAGGAACACCGAUGGCGAAGGCAGCCUCCUGGGCCAGCACUGACGCUCAUGCACGAAAGCGUGGGGAGCAAACAGG